rnacentral:rRNA from 1 species
UAGGAAACAGAUGACUAAGUACCGGAUAACAACAGAUGAUGCCUAUCAACUGUUUAAAAGAUGGUUCUGCUAUCACUCUUGGAUGGACCUGCGGUGCAUUAGCUAGUUGGUAGGGUAACGGCCUACCAAGGCGAUGAUGCAUAGCCGAGUUGAGAGACUGAUCGGCCACAUUGGGACUGAGACACGGCCCAAACUCCUACGGGAGGCAGCAGGA